rnacentral:tRNA from 1 species
GCCCGAAUAGCUCAGCGGUAGAGCGACCGGCUGUUAACCGGUAGGUCGCAGGUUCAAUCCCUGCUUCGGGCG